UUGCAGAAUUCAGUGAAUCAUCGAAUCUUUGAACGCACCUUGCGCUCCAUGGUAUUCCGUGGAGCAUGCCUGUUUGAGUGUCAUGAAUACUUCAACCCUCCUCUUUUCUAGUGAAAGAGAAGGUGCUUGGUUUCUGAGCGUUUUGCUGGCCUCACGGUCGAGCUCGCUCGUAAUGCAUUAGCAUCCGCAAUCGAACUUCGGAUUGACUUGGCGUAAUAGACUAUUCGCUGAGGAAUUCUAAUCUUCGGAUUAGAGCCGGGUUAGGUUAAAGGAAGCUUCUAAUCCUAAUGUCUAUAUUUUAAGAUUAGAUCUCAAAUCAGGUAGGACUACCCGCUGAACUUAAGCAUAC
rnacentral:rRNA from 1 species